UGGAUGAGGACAGAGAUGAGAAGUAUGAUACGAGCAUGUAUCACUUUGGCGAGCAUGUAGCGCCAUCAAGAGAGAGUAAGAGCUUGAGUGAAGCUCUCAGAAACCAAAGCCUGCUGCAGAAGUGGAACAAGAAGCAGGAUAAGAUCAUCUCCAAGUUUUUGAAAAUAUCAAGUCUGUGAAGGCUAUGAUAAGUUGCUCCUCCUCCAGCAUAGCUAUGCCA
rnacentral:pre_miRNA from 1 species